UGGGGAAUUUUGCGCAAUGGGGGAAACCCUGACGCAGCAACGCCGCGUGAGUGAUGAAGGCUUUCGGGUCGUAAAGCUCUGUCAGAGGGGAAGAAAUGGAAACGGUUAAUACCCGUUUUCCUUGACGGUACCCUCAAAGGAAGCACCGGCUAACUCCGUGCCAGCAGCCGCGGUAAUACGGAGGGUGCAAGCGUUGUUCGGAUUUAUUGGGCGUAAAGCGCGUGUAGGCGGUUUCUUAAGUCUGAUGUGAAAGCCCUGGGCUCAACCCAGGAAGUGCAUUGGAUACUGGGAAACUUGAAUACGGGAGAGGGUAGUGGAAUUCCUAGUGUAGGAGUGAAAUCCGUAGAUAUUAGGAGGAACACCGGUGGCGAAGGCGGCUACCUGGACCGAUAUUGACGCUGAGACGCGAAAGCGUGGGGAGCAAACAGGAUUAGAUACCCUGGUAGUCCACGCCGUAAACGAUGAGAACUAGGUGUUGCGGGUAUUGACCCCUGCAGUGCCGCAGCUAACGCAUUAAGUUCUCCG
rnacentral:rRNA from 1 species